UACGUAGGAUGCAAGCGUUGUUCGGAAUUACUGGGCGUAAAGAGUACGUAGGCGGUUUGGUAAGUCUGAUAUUAAAGACCGGAGCUCAACUUCGGGACUGUAUCGGAAACUGUCAGACUAGAGGACAAUAGAGGAAGUCGGAAUUCUCAGUGUAGCGGUGAAAUGCGUAGAGUAUUGGGAAGAACACCAGUGGCGAAAGCGGACUUCUGGGUUGUUACUGACGCUGAGGUACGAAAGCGUGGGGAGCAAACGGG
rnacentral:rRNA from 1 species